ensembl:lncRNA LERFS lncRNA negative regulator of fibroblast-like synoviocyte migration, SYNCRIP interacting
ACAUGCUCAGUGAGGUCGGCGCCCGCCAGUAACAAACAUGGCUCCCUGAAGCCGCUCAGGCUCAAGAGCAACAUGGAGGUCUGCACUUAAUCGCUCCUCUCCGGGGGCGGCCAUACCGAGGAGGCGUCUCUUCCGUGCAGGCAGGCUCUCCUGGGGACCUCAGAGAUUCUCUCCAGCGGCAGCGGAAAACGGACAAUGGGUGGAUUCGGGUCCAGAUUCUGGUAGGAGGGAGUUUGGGAUCGAGAUCUGGAAAAAAGCACUAGACUGGAAGAGGACGCGAUGGAGUCGGAGCCGCUGGCGGGGACAAAAACCAGAGGCCGGGGAAGGCGCCGGUGGGAGGCAAGGCACGGAUGGACUUUACCUGCGCACGCGUCGCAGCCAUCUCCGCGCACAGUGGUGGCCACCGCGACUGGUGCUGAAGUGUUGGCGCGUGCCGGGCGCUCCGCUGGGACCCGGGUUGCUGGCCCUGAGUCUCAGCUUUCUCAUCUGUACGGUUGGGACAAGUACAGUAACCCUCGCCCGUCAAGACGGGCCAGGGCUGUGGCGAGGGUCCACGCCUUAGAGCAGGUACCUAUCUUGUGCAGGGCCCUGAGAUGGGGUCUGACUCAGUUCCUGCGGGGAACUUCACCAGUGACCCAGUCAGUGCCCUUCAGUUAAAGACCACCAGGAGCACACUUGCAGGAGUAGGGCUGAUUGGAGCCAUUGUACAGUGUCGGGAACAUACCAGGACACUGAGAAUAGUGUCAUGUCAUAAGGACCCAGAGCAGAUGGACCCUGCUGUGAUGCACAAAGAGGACCACGCAAGAUAUGAUAAAGAUCUACAUCACUGAAUUUUGGUUCCAUUUUUGUAUCUCAGCUUCCAGGAAAUAAAAAAGAAUUCUAACAUUCAUACUUUCAGUAUUUUAUGUGAGAGGUUUUGUUGUCAAAAUCAAGUCUGAGAGCAAUGUUUGUUGGGGCCUUUAAUUGGAGUCACCAAGCGAUAAAGGGGACAUUGUCCUCAACAAUAACCCUAUAAUAAACACGUUUUGGACAAUAAAUAUAUGACAAUUUCUUAAAAGCAAUUUCUUGGGCAAUCAAGACAGUAUGGCUUGAGUAUGGAGUUAUACGAUGGUUUGGAUUAAUCCAGUAUUAAAUCUUUGGUUAUUACAGAAAUCAAUGGAGCCUAUUCUUCCAAAUAAUCCUUAAAUAUUACUUAUCUCAACUGAGAUUUUGGUGAAAAUUUAGCUUUAGAGCUUUUAUUGACCUGCCAAUGACCUGAAGUUAAGAUUAUUCUUUUCUACUGAAUGAAGACAAACUACCUUAUAAAAAUUAACCCAGAAGGCUGUAGAGGGAUGAAAUGGGAUUUUGUUGGCACCAAGACCUGAUUGCUUUGCCAGUUACCCUCACCCCUGGCUCACAAGGAAAGUGUAUGGAGGAGAUUCUCGAGGAACCACAUGAGUUUUAAUAUCAUAAGCUUCUGCCCUGAAUUGAAAGCCUACAUCAUCCUGUGCAUUUCACAAAAUCCUAAUGAAAACUACACGAAGCUCAAAGUAUAGAUAAACAUAUCAGUGUUGACAACCGUGAAACCACGCUAUCCAAAGGCUACGAGCUCUGAGGAAUUCCUGUUAGCU